GAUGAACGCUGGCGGCGUGCUUAACACAUGCAAGUCGAGCGAGUGAGUUCUUCGGAACGAUCUAGCGGCGGACGGGUGAGUAACACGUGGGCAACCUGCCUCAUAGAGGGGAAUAGCCUCCCGAAAGGGAGAUUAAUACCGCAUAAAAUUAUCGAGUGGCAUCACAUGAUAAUCAGAGGAGUAAUCCGCUAUGAGAUGGGCCCGCGGCGCAUUAGCUAGUUGGUGAGGUAACGGCUCACCAAGGCGACGAUGCGUAGCCGACCUGAGAGGGUGAUCGGCCACAUUGGGGCUGAGACACGGCCCAGACUCCUACGGGAGGCAGCAGUGGGGAAUAUUGCACAAUGGGGGAAACCCUGAUGCAGCAACGCCGCGUGAGUGAUGAAGGUCUUCGGAUCGUAAAGCUCUGUCUUUGGGGACGAUAAUGACGGUACCCAAGGAGGAAGCCACGGCUAACUACGUGCCAGCCGCCGCAGUAA
rnacentral:rRNA from 1 species